ACACCUCAACUCUCACGUUCCUCGUGAUGAGCUUGGACUUGGGGGCUUUGUUGGCCUGUGGGUCAGCUCUCCUCAAAUGAAUCAGCUCGCCGGUGUCUGGCGGCGUCAUGGGUGUGAUAACCGUCUACUCUCGUGAUCGCCUGCAAAGUAAACCUCUGGUCUGCAGAGGUUCGCCGGAGCUUAUAGAUGUCUCUCCUCAGUGAAGACAGCCGUCUGAA
rnacentral:misc_RNA from 1 species